rnacentral:misc_RNA from 1 species
GAGAAGAACGUAGCGAAAUGCGAUAAGUAAUGUGAAUUGCAGAAUUCAGUGAAUCAUCGAAUCUUUGAACGCACAUUGCGCCCCUUGGUAUUCCAUGGGGCAUGCCUGUUCGAGCGUCAUUUGUACCUUCAAGCUUUGCUUGGUGUUGGGUGUUUGUCUCGCCUUUGCGUGUAGACUCGCCUUAAAAUAAUUGGCAGCCGGCGUAUUGAUUUCGGAGCGCAGUACAUCUCGCGCUUUGCACUCAUAACGACAGCGUCCAAAAGUACAUUUUACACUCUUGACCUCGGAUCAGGUAGGGAUACCCGCUGAACUUAAGCAUAUCAAUAAGCGGAGGA